ACUGUGGCACUGUCUGAUAUUGUUGUACUCAGAGAUCUUCUAAAUCCAUUAUGUGAUCUUAAUGAUGCAGCUUCUCUAACCAAAUACCUUGAAUCUUUUUAUACGUUGCGCAAGGCAGGCUUAAUUUCCUGUAUAAUUAUCUAUAGUUGUGUUGUGUGAGUUAAUAUUAUGUAUGCAUGUCAAUAACUUGAGACGUAUUCAAUGGUUGUUUCUGGCAGCCUGUGGCAUCUACAAUAAAUA
rnacentral:misc_RNA from 1 species